UACGGAGGGGGCUAGCGUUGUUCGGAAUUACUGGGCGUAAAGCGCACGUAGGCGGCUUUGUAAGUUAGAGGUGAAAGCCCGGGGCUCAACUCCGGAAUUGCCUUUAAGACUGCAUCGCUAGAAUUGUGGAGAGGUGAGUGGAAUUCCGAGUGUAGAGGUGAAAUUCGUAGAUAUUCGGAAGAACGCCAGUGGCGAAGGCGACUCACUGGACACAUAUUGACGCUGAGGUGCGAAAGCGUGGGGAGCAAACAGG
rnacentral:rRNA from 1 species